rnacentral:rRNA from 1 species
GACGAACGCUGGCGGCGUGCUUAACACAUGCAAGUCGAACGGAAAGGCCCUGCUUUUGUGGGGUGCUCGAGUGGCGAACGGGUGAGUAACACGUGAGUAACCUGCCCUUGACUUUGGGAUAACUUCAGGAAACUGGGGCUAAUACCGGAUAGGAGCUCCUGCCGCAUGGUGGGGGUUGGAAAGUUUCGGCGGUUGGGGAUGGACUCGCGGCUUAUCAGCUUGUUGGUGGGGUAGUGGCUUACCAAGGCUUUGACGGGUAGCCGGCCUGAGAGGGUGACCGGCCACAUUGGGACUGAGGUAGGGCCCAGAAUCCUACGGGAGGCAGCAGUGGGGAAUAUUGCACAAUGGGCGGAAGCCUGAUGCAGCAACGCCGCGUGCGGGAUGACGGCCUUCGGGUUGUAAACCGCUUUCGCCUGUGACGAAGCGUGAGUGACGGUAAUGGGUAAAGAAGCACCGGCUAACUACGUG